rnacentral:rRNA from 1 species
AGUUUGAUCCUGGCUCAGAGCGAACGUUUGCGGCGGGCUUAACACAUGCAAGUCGAACGAGAAUCCCUUCGGGGAGGAAAGUGGCGCACGGGUGCGUAACACGUGGAUAACCAACCCAUUGGUUUGGGACAACACCGGGGAAACUGGUGCUAAUACCAGAUGUGUCGGCAGCUGUCUUCAGGCGGUUGCGAGAAAGGCCCGGCAAGGGGUCGCCAACGGACGGGUCCGCGUCCCAUCAGCUAGUUGGUGAGGUAAUGGCUCACCAAGGCAAAGACGGGUAGCUGGUCUGAGAGGAUGAUCAGCCACACUGGAACUGAGACACGGUCCAGACUCCUACGGGAGGCAGCAGUGGGGAAUAUUGCGCAAUGGGCGAAAGCCUGACGCAGCCACGCCGCGUGAGCGAUGAAGGUCUUCGGAUCGUAAAGCUCUAGUGGGGGGAGAAGAAGAAAGCCGGUGAAGAGCCGGCCCUGACGGUAUCCCCUUAGCAAGCACCGGCUAACUCCGUG